UUCCCACAACCUUCAUCUUGACCAGAUUCAGAUGAAAUGCAUUGAUCUUGUGAAUUGGUCUCCCCCACAGUGCCCACUUCAUUGUGAGAUUGACCAAUUGAUUGAGUUGAAGAUGAUUCUUGGUCCAGGAGCUGAAAACCAAAAUGCUUUGCUUUGUGAUAAAGUUGGGAUGGAGAUUCCACUUUUAAGCCUAUAUUCUUGGAUAAAGACUGCGAAAUUUGCUGUUCAUUUGAAUGCCACCAGGAUGGGCUACUAAAAAUAAAGGGGGCUUGACCAAAAUUUUUCUUGGGCAAGUUCUGAAUUCGUACAGCCAUCUAGUUUAUCUAUAUGUCACGAAUUUGAUGAAAAUCCUUAACAAAGCACUGAUUCUUUUUGCUAGCUUUUGAUAUUACUGAUUAGCUGUCUAUGGAAAGAUAAGAUACAAUGAGCUAGGGCUGCCUCAAUAAAAUAUAAAGAAAUUGCAAAAUUCAUAACCAAAUUAUAAAGAAAAUGGAUUGCAUAUAGCAGUAAGACACACUCAAUACAAGUUUUGCAUGAUAAAAAAGCCAAUUGAAGCACCUCUUCGAUGCAUAGAAAUAGAAUCUCAAAUGCCCGCUAAUCUAAGUAGACCCUAAUGUAAGAGUGGAAAAUAAUAGCUAAUAUACCAUCCCAAUCAAUUCAAUUCAACACUUAGAACUGCAAAUCAGAAAUGCUAGUUUCUAACAUUUUUGCCCCUGAUUUGGAACAACUAAAUUCCAUAAAACUUAUGGAAUUCAUUUGCAUUUUCAUAGAUUUCAAGUUUUAAACCUUAAAAAAUAAAUUAUUAAAAAUCCCAAGGUUUCAAUUAUUAAAAUUGAUAAAAUUUGAAAAUGAGUUCCACAAGAGUUACACACCCUUCAUAACUUAAUCUUCAUUCCCAUCCCUCUUUCCCACUCUCUUUUUGCUACAUAUAUGGAAUUUUAGCGGGACAAAAAAAAAAAGAAUAGAGGAUUCACUUAUUCAUUCAUUUCAAACACAUUCUAUAUUUGAAUUCAAUUGAAGUUUGACACUAGUUUAAAGCAUGACAAAUAUGAAAUUCGAUUGCAAAAGAUUUCUAAGUCCCUAACCAUAGAAUUCAUUUAAAAAUGAAAUAAAUUUCCCAUUCAUUGGUUUUCAAAGAGUCAAACUUUCGAUGAUUUACCCACACUUCAUGAUAUUGCUUUAAAAAGGAUGUAAGAAUCCUAUUGUGAACCUAUCUCAAUAACAAAAUUAUUCCAAUACUGAACUCCCAUCAGCAUGACCGCGUUCGAACAUUUGUGUUUGCAAAAGCUCUCAUGUGCACGUGUGUGCUGUAAGCUAUUGAGAAUGGACAUACAAGGGGAAAAACAGGACCUGACUUCUACAACAAAUAUACAGUGGUAAAGCAGAAUAUUCAGAAUCAUUGCAUAAGACAAAAAAAAAUACCAAGCUAGAAAACCAUAUUCUGAAAAUAAUCGGCCACCCAAAAAAGCUUGCCAUAGUAAUAAGUGAUAUACCAAAUCAAGCUUAAGGAAAUGGGCACGUAUGCAAAUUUCCAGUAGUGGAGGAUGAAUGAAGCAGCCAAUAACAUUAGUAAAGCCACGUGUAUUUCUUCCACCAAACCCACAAAAGCAAUGAAUCUAAAUCAGCCACUGAUAUUGACAUGCAGAAGGGAAGCAUGUAUACAAAACACAUGUACAGAACAGCAACCAUAUUCAGUCGGAUGAUGAGAUAGCUAAAGGGACUUUCUAUGUGUAGUUAAGGAUAAAACGAAUUAGAAGCCUAACAUUAACAUGAACGCUUAUAAAAACAACCCAAUCACUCUUAACACUGAAUAAUUAUGAAAACAAGUCCAAUCAAAGAAACCUCUAGAUAAAUUGGGUUUACCAGACCAGUAAUAACCCAUUCAAUACAUAUCCAACAAAG
rnacentral:misc_RNA from 1 species